UACAGAGGGGGCAAGCGUUGUUCGGAAUUACUGGGCGUAAAGGGCGCGUAGGCGGCCUUCUAAGUCGAACGUGAAAUCCCCGGGCUCAACCCGGGAACUGCGUCCGAUACUGGAAGGCUUGAGUCCGGGAGAGGGAUGCGGAAUUCCAGGUGUAGCGGUGAAAUGCGUAGAUAUCUGGAGGAACACCGGUGGCGAAGGCGGCAUCCUGGACCGGCAUUGACGCUGAGGCGCGAAAGCCAGGGGAGCAAACGGG
rnacentral:rRNA from 1 species